UAUGAUCUGAAGUCAGGUGGGAUUACCCG
rnacentral:rRNA from 1 species